rnacentral:rRNA from 1 species
UACAGAGGGGGCUAGCGUUGUUCGGAAUCACUGGGUGUAAAGGGUGCGUAGGCGGUCAGUUAAGUCUGAUGUGAAAGCCCUCGGCUCAACUGGGGAAUGGCAUUGGAAACUGACGGACUGGAGUACCGGAGAGGGAAGCGGAAUUCCUGGUGUAGCGGUGAAAUGCGUAGAUACCAGGAGGAACACCGGUGGCGAAGGCGGUUUCCUGGCCGAGUACUGACGCUGAGGCACGAAAGCGUGGGGAGCGAACGGG